UUAUUAUUUUUAUGCUGACACAUAGAGUGUCAUACUCUCGUCUCAGACAUCAGCCAUACUGUGAGUGUAAUAUAUUUACUUGUGAGUGCGACUGGCUCAUCAUUCAUUAAUAGUUAAUAGAUGAAAUGUCUUAGAUCGUUGUCGGUAGUAUUUGUAGAGUACAUCCGUGAUCACUUCUUCGGAGAGGAGGAGGUGUUUUUAUUAGAAAAAAAACAAAUAGUCUCAUAAUAUUGGGGAAUAAUAACCCCUUAUAUUUUCGCAUGUAUAGGAAGAGAAGUUUUUUAAAUUUUUCCCCCAUCUCACUUUUAGGGGUUGGUAUAGGGGUUCCCCAGCCCAGAAGGGGGAAGGAAAAAUUUGGGUUGAGUUUUGGGAGGGGGCCCGAGAGAGGGGUUUCCCACUCCAAGGAAGGCCCCCGGGCGUGAAAUUCCCCAACCCGGCACACGGGGGGGUAGGCCAAAAAUCCCAAAAGGGGGAUAUUUAGUUUUGCAAUUGGAUUGAGAACAAUGUACAACAGUUAUCGAUAAACAAUUGGAGGGCAAGUCUGGUGCCAGCAGCCGCGGUAAUCCACUAAAAUGGA
rnacentral:rRNA from 1 species